CCUACGGGAGGCAGCAGUGGGGAAUAUUGCACAAUGGGGGAAACCCUGAUGCAGCAACGCCGCGUGAAGGAAGACGGUCUUCGGAUUGUAAACUUCUUUCAAUAGGGAAGACAGAAAUGACGGUACCUCAAUAAGAAGCCCCGGCGAACUACGUGCCAGCAGCCGCGGAAAUACGUAGGGGGCAAGCUUUAUCCGGAUUUACUGGGUGUAAGGGGGGAGUAGGCGGGAUGGUAAGCGAUAUGUGAAAGCCUUAGGCGUAACUUAAGAAUGGCGUAACAAACUAUCUAGCUAGAGUACAGGAGAGGAAAGCGGAAUUCCUAGUGUAGCGGUGAAAUGCGUAGAUAUUAGGAAGAACACCAGUGGCGAAGGCGGCUUUCUGGACCGAAACUGACGCUGAGGCUCGAAAGCGUGGGGAGCGAACAGGAUUAGAUACCCUGGUAGUC
rnacentral:rRNA from 1 species